UACGAAGGGGGCGAGCGUUGUUCGGAUUUACUGGGCGUAAAGGGCGCGCAGGCGGCUCAUUUUGUCAGGCGUGAAAGCCCCGGGCUUAACCUGGGAACUGCGUUUGAUACGGAUGGGCUAGAGUUCGGGAGAGGAGAGUGGAAUUCCCAGUGUAGAGGUGAAAUUCGUAGAUAUUGGGAAGAACACCGGUGGCGAAGGCGGCUCUCUGGACCGAUACUGACGCUGAGGCGCGAAAAGCGUGGGGGA
rnacentral:rRNA from 1 species